rnacentral:lncRNA from 1 species
AUUGAAUUAAUCAAAUUACAUUCAAAUCUACACUACCAAACCCAAACAUUCAUAAUGUAAAUCGGCCAAUCACAUAGCUCAAUUAUCGAGGCCUUUGGUUCAUAAUCACCCUUUUCUUAAUCAAUCACAUUAACUAAGAAAACAACUUUAAACAAUUGGUUUUGGAUCCAUAGAAUUGAUUUAAAUGGAACUAAAUGAAAUCAAAAUCCAAUUCUCAUUUAGGAGACAAAACCAUUUUGUUCUCAUCUUAUUUGGGCCAUAAGGAAACUAUGACCACAACAAUUGGGCCACAAUGCAAAUACAAAAACUUUUGGGGUCACUUUGUAAAAAUACAAAAGUCCACAACUUCAUGUAAUUACAACUAGAACCCAAAAUUUUAAUAAUGUAAAAACAUCAUUAAAGGAUCAAAACAAUUUGUCCUUUAGAGUUUUUGGGCUUUAACGUAAAAACGUAAACUUUUGGGCCAAAAUGCAAAUACACAAAAGUAUCAAAACUUUAUGUAAUUGCACAAAAGGCCCCAAAAGUACAUCCACUAGGGGGUGGCCGGCCAUUUGAGAAGAAAUUGAAAAAUUUUCUAAAAGUUUUUGCAAGUUGAUUUUGGUGGGUGAGGAAAAGGUGAAAUUGAUGGUUUGUAAGAAAAUGUU